GAUGAUGCUACUGUUUAAUUUUUAAACAGCUCUCAUCCACCACAUAAAUAUCCAUAUUAUCCAAAGUAUGCACAUCAAUGUUUCAUCUAAAACACUUGCCAAUGUUACACAUCGCCUAUGAUUACACAAUCUCCCCCUUGAUGAAAACAUUGACAACAUUUUCUUAACACUAGACAUUGAACAUUGAUUGGUAUACACAUUCACUUAACUCUCAGAUUUUCAAGAUUUUGAAAAGAAAAAAAAACAUCAAAUUGUUGGAGAAACACCAAUAAACACCAAAAUAUUGGUAAAAUAUGGUAUGUAUAUGUGUUGAAAUCUCUCCCCCUUUGACAAUGAAUUUCAUCAAAACCACACAAAAAUAUUUCCCCCGC
rnacentral:lncRNA from 1 species